GAAUAUCCCUUCCCCUUAAAGGCUGCUGCGGAGGUGCUGCAUGGCUGUCGUCAGCUCGUGUCGUGAGAUGUUGGGUUAAGUCCCGCAACGAGCGCAACCCUUAUCCCUAGUUGCCAUCGGGUCAAGCCGGGCACUCUAGUGAAACUGCCUCGGAUAACGAGGAGGAAGGUGGGGAUGACGUCAAGUCCUCAUGGCCUUUAUGUCCAGGGCUACACACGUGCUACAAUGGUCGGUACAAACCGUCGCAAACCCGUGAGGGGGAGCUAAUCGGAAAAAGCCGGCCUCAGUUCGGAUUGGAGUCUGCAACUCGACUCCAUGAAGCUGGAAUCGCUAGUAAUCGCGGAUCAGAACGCCGCGGUGAAUACGUUCCCGGGCCUUGUACACACCGCCCGUCACAUCACGAAAGUGGGCCGUACUAGAAGCUGGUGUGCUAACCGCAAGGAGGCAGCCAUCCAAGGUACAGCUCAUGAUUGGGGUGAAGUCGUAACAAGGUAACCGUAA
rnacentral:rRNA from 1 species